rnacentral:rRNA from 1 species
GACGAACGCUGGCGGCGUGCUUAACACAUGCAAGUCGAACGGAAAGGCCCUGCUUUUGUGGGGUGCUCGAGUGGCGAACGGGUGAGUAACACGUGAGUAACCUGCCCUUGACUUUGGGAUAACUUCAGGAAACUGGGGCUAAUACCGGAUAGGAGCUCCUGCUGCAUGGUGGGGGUUGGAAAGUUUCGGCGGUUGGGGAUGGACUCGCGGCUUAUCAGCUUGUUGGUGGGGUAGUGGCUUACCAAGGCUUUGACGGGUAGCCGGCCUGAGAGGGUGACCGGCCACAUUGGGACUGAGAUACGGCCCAGACUCCUACGGGAGGCAGCAGUGGGAGAUAUUGCACAAUGGGCGGAAGCCUGAUGCAGCAACGCCGCGUGCGGGAUGACGGCCUUCGGGUUGUAAACCGCUUUCGCCUGUGACGAAGCGUGAGUGACGGUAAUGGGUAAAGAAGCACCGGCUAACUACGUG